CCUGCCGUUCCUCGUGGGCGCUUCUCCCGUCUCCCUGCUGCUCAACUGGACUGCGUAUCUCACCUCAGCGUUGUGAUUGCAAAGACUUCAGGAGAGGUCAGUCCAUGAGGAGGUUAUAUCAAAGUAUUGGUACCUCAAUAUGAACUCUCCUUCUCACAUGAUGUCUCUUCAACAUCUUCAUCAGUGACAUCAAUGAUGGCUGUGAGUGCACCCUCAACAAGUUUGCUGAUUGACACCAAACUGAAUGGCAUGAUUGGCAUGUUACAAGGAAUGGAUGCAAUCCAGAGGGACUUCAGCUAACUUGAAAGAGUAUAGCUACUAUCUCAAAAAGGGAGAUUUUGGGUUGCAAAUGAUUCUUGUUCACAGUGACGUGGAAAUGAGACUGCUACCAUCUGUUAACUGAGGUAUUCUCCUAGUGUCUAAUACAUUUUGAUGAAGCACUGGAAUAGGCUGCCCAGGGGGCUGUGGAUUUUCCUUCUUUGAAGAUACUGUAGACCCACCUGGACACCUACCUGUGCAGACUGCUGUUGGGGGACCUGCUUUGCAGGGGCAUUGUACUCGAUGACCUUCUAGCCCCCACAAUUCUAUGAUUCUGUGAUUCGGUACUAAUAUAACUCCAGUGAACUGUAGAAUACAGCAAUUCUGGCAAAAAUAUUAAACUAACAAAAUCAAAUAUGGCAAUUUUAAGUUGCUCUCUUACCUAAUGCUGGAGAUGUUUUUAUGAGACCAGGUAAUAAUAUUAUUCCACACACUGAGAUCUAUUUAAAAUUAAUACAGUGGAUAUCUAUGUCUUCUGAUUCUUAUAUAUUUUAAUGAAUUACUGAUUAUUCUUUACAUAUCAUUUAGAGGCUAGUAAAACUAAACCAGGUCUGCUCAUUAUUUUAUUUUUUUUCUGAGCUUGAAAGUGUUACAUUUUAAUUAUAUUUGCAGAGUAAAUGGCUAAAUAAGGAGAAAGUGACAAGACUAGAUGAACCUUGUCAUUGGAGUUAGUGGUUACAGGUGUCAGUCCACUAGAAAUCUGGGAGAAGAAAAACAAAAGGCGCAUUUUGAUAUAAUUCAUCCACUUAAAAGUUUAUUGUCAAAAUACAUACAAAAUAAACAAAUUAAUUACAAAA